CCCCGUGUUCUGUCACGGGUAUCCUAUCGGAGUGUGCGUCAACGGAAAAACCAUCUGAGGAUGCUGUUGGGGUGCGAAGCCUCCGGGACAAAGUAGCCUCAGCCUGAUGGCUGGUCACUUAACCGCGAGGAGCAGUGGCGACUGCCAGCAUCAAGGCGGUCGGGAGC
rfam:Candidatus Cloacimonetes bacterium 4572_55 ex4572_55_scaffold_34657, whole genome shotgun sequence.